UGCAGUCGGGUGCUAUACAUGCAGUCGAGCGGACGGAUGGGAGCUUGCUCCCUGAAGUCAGCGGCGGACGGGUGAGUAACACGUGGGCAACCUGCCUGUAAGACUGGGAUAACUCCGGGAAACCGGGGCUAAUACCGGAUAACUCUUUUCCUCACAUGAGGAAAAGCUGAAAGAUGGUUUCGGCUAUCACUUACAGAUGGGCCCGCGGCGCAUUAGCUAGUUGGUGAGGUAACGGCUCACCAAGGCCACGAUGCGUAGCCGACCUGAGAGGGUGAUCGGCCACACUGGGACUGAGACACGGCCCAGACUCCUACGGGAGGCAGCAGUAGGGAAUCUUCCGCAAUGGACGAAAGUCUGACGGAGCAACGCCGCGUGAGUGAUGAAGGUUUUCGGAUCGUAAAACUCUGUUGUCAGGGAAGAACAAGUACCGGAGUAACUGCCGGUACCUUGACGGUACCUGACCAGAAAGCCACGGCUAACUACGUGCCAGCAGCCGCGGUAAU
rnacentral:rRNA from 1 species